UUUCAGGUUUUAAAUACAAUGUUUGAUUCUUCGUCUUAUUUAAAAAAAUUACAAUUAACAUUUUAAUUUUUAUUAGAUGAUAAAACAUGAAUAUUACUUUAUGUGUGACUAAUUUUUUAAAAAUUUCUAGAAAAUUUUUCAAAUAAGACGGAUGGUCCAACACUUACACGGAAAUCGAAAGGU
rnacentral:pre_miRNA from 1 species